GUUGUAUGGUCAAGUAAUGAAGUGCACAUGGUGGAUGCCUUGGCAGUCAGAGGCGAUGAAAGACGUGAUAGCCUGCGAUAAGCGUCGGUGAGGUGGCAAUAUCCUGUGACCCGGCGAUUUCUGAAUGGGGAAACCCAACCAACAUAAGUUGGUUAUUACAUAGUUUACUGUGUAAGGCAAACCGGGAGAAGUGAAACAUCUCAGUACCCCGAGGAAAAGACAUCAAUUGAGAUUCCCCAAGUAGCGGCGAGCGAACGGGGAGGAGCCGAUCAAUUUUACAGUAGCAAAAUGGCGUGGGAAAGCCAACCAUAGUAGGUGAUAGUCCUGUAUGCGAAACUGUUUAUGAGACAUAUUAAGUAGGGCGAGACACGUGAAAUCUUGUCUGAAGAUGGGGGGACCAUCCUCCAAGGCUAAAUACUCCUGACUGACCGAUAGUGAACCAGUACCGUGAGGGAAAGGCGAAAAGAACCCCUGUUAGGGGAGUGAAAUAGAACCUGAAACCGUGUGCAUACAAGCAGUCGGAGCGGACUUGUUCCGUGACGGCGUACCUUUUGUAUAAUGGGUCAGCGACUUAUAUUCUGUAGCAAGGUUAACCGUUUAGGGGAGCCGUAGGGAAACCGAGUCUUAAUAGGGCGAUUAAGUUGCAGGGUAUAGACCCGAAACCGAGUGAUCUAUCCAUGAGCAGGUUGAAAGUGCCGUAACAGGCACCGGAGGACCGAACCCACUGUCGUUGAAAAGCCAGGGGAUGACUUGUGGAUAGGGGUGAAAGGCUAAUCAAACUCGGUGAUAGCUGGUUCUCCCCGAAAGCUAUUUAGGUAGCGCCUCGGACGAAUACCAUUGGGGGUAGAGCACUGUUUCGGCUAGGGGGUCAUCCCGACUUACCAAACCGAUGCAAACUCCGAAUACCGAUGAGUAAUAUCCGGGAGACAGACGGCGGGUGCUAACGUCCGUCGUCAAGAGGGAAACAACCCAGACCGCCAGCUAAGGCCCCAAAUUCCUAGUUAAGUGGGAAACGAUGUGGGAAGGCACAGACAGCUAGGAGGUUGGCUUAGAAGCAGCCACCCUUUAAAGAAAGCGUAAUAGCUCACUAGUCGAGUCGGCCUGCGCGGAAGAUGUAACGGGGCUCAAACUAGGAGCCGAAGCUGCGGAUUUAAUUGUUUCAAUUAAGUGGUAGGGGAGCGUUGUGUAAGCCUGUGAAGGUGUAUCGUAAGGUAUGCUGGAGGUAUCACAAGAGCGAAUGCUGACGUGAGUAACGACAAAACGGGUGAAAAGCCCGUUCGCCGGAAGACCAAGGGUUCCAGUCCAACGUUAAUCGGGGCUGGGUGAGUCGACCCCUAAGGCGAGGCCGAAAGGCGUAGUCGAUGGGAAAUCGGUUAAUAUUCCGAUACUUGUUUAUGAUGCGAUGGAGGGACGGAGAAGGUUAUGUCAGCCUGGCGUUGGUUGUCCAGGUGGAAGGAUGUAGUUAGGUUUAGUAGGCAAAUCCGCUAGACUAUUAAUGAGAUCUGAUAGCAAGCCAGUUUACUGGCGAAGUGGCAAAUACCCUGCUUCCAGGAAAAGCUUCUAAGCGAUAGUCAUAAAGAAAUCGUACCCGAAACCGACACAGGUGGUCAGGUAGAGAAUACCAAGGCGCUUGAGAGAACUCUGCUGAAGGAACUAGGCAAAAUGGUACCGUAACUUCGGGAGAAGGUACGCUGCCGAUGGUGAUGGAACUUGCUUCCUGAGCUGUUGGCAGUCGCAGAUACCAGGCUGCUGCAACUGUUUAUUAAAAACACAGCACUCUGCAAACACGAAAGUGGACGUAUAGGGUGUGAUGCCUGCCCGGUGCUGGAAGGUUAAUUGAUGGGGUUAGCGUAAGCGAAGCUCUUGAUCGAAGCCCCAGUAAACGGCGGCCGUAACUAUAACGGUCCUAAGGUAGCGAAAUUCCUUGUCGGGUAAGUUCCGACCUGCACGAAUGGCAUAAUGAUGGCAGCGCUGUCUCCAGCAGAGACUCAGUGAAAUCGAAAUCGCAGUGAAGAUGCUGUGUACCCGCGGCUAGACGGAAAGACCCCGUGAACCUUUACUACAGCUUUACAUUGAACUUUGACCUAACUUGUGUAGGAUAGGUGGGAGGCUUUGAAGUAGGGACGCCAGUUCCUAUGGAGCCAACCUUGAAAUACCACCCUGGUUAUGUUGGGGUUCUAACUUAGAUAUAACAGUAUCAAGGACAAUGUAUGGUGGGUAGUUUGACUGGGGCGGUCUCCUCCUAAAGAGUAACGGAGGAGUACGAAGGUGCGCUCAGAACGGUCGGAAAUCGUUCAAAGAGUAUAAAGGCAAAAGCGCGCUUAACUGCGAGACCCACAAGUCGAGCAGGUACGAAAGUAGGUCUUAGUGAUCCGGUGGUUCUGUAUGGAAGGGCCAUCGCUCAACGGAUAAAAGGUACUCUGGGGAUAACAGGCUGAUACCGCCCAAGAGUUCAUAUCGACGGCGGUGUUUGGCACCUCGAUGUCGGCUCAUCUCAUCCUGGGGCUGAAGCAGGUCCCAAGGGUAUGGCUGUUCGCCAUUUAAAGAGGUACGCGAGCUGGGUUUAGAACGUCGUGAGACAGUUCGGUCCCUAUCUACCGUGGGCGUUGGAAAUUUGAGAGGAUCUGCUCCUAGUACGAGAGGACCAGAGUGGACGAACCUCUGGUGUUCCGGUUGUUUCGCCAGAAGCAUCGCCGGGUAGCUACGUUCGGAUGGGAUAACCGCUGAAAGCAUCUAAGCGGGAAGCCCACCUCAAGAUAAGAUUUCCCUAAAGAGCCGUUGUAGACUACGACGUUGAUAGGUUGGGUGUAAAAGCAUAGCGAUGUGUGUAGCUAACCAAUACUAAUUGCUCGUUUGGCUUGACCAUACAACACCCAAG
rnacentral:rRNA from 1 species